rnacentral:lncRNA from 1 species
AGCAGAUGUUAUAGUCUACCACCUGUUUUGCAGUAGCUUUUUUCAAUAGGUUCCAUUCUUAAUUUUGUAAUCUGGUAAUAAUUAAGAAGCAUACAUCCUCUUCAGCUAGAUCAUGUUGUUUUUUAUUACCUGUACCCUUUCUGUUUGUGGGAGUUAAAAUAAUCUCAAAGCAGCUCAGUCAUUGUGGUCUGUAUUAGCAUCCAUUCCCCUUAUUUUUCUGUCUUUCUCUUGCUCAAUAAAUGUGGAAAUUCAGAUAUCUGGAUUCUGAGGGGAAUAGUAUUUUCUCUUCUAGUCCUUAACUACAUAGUUUAAUUGGUUUCAGAGUAUUUAUUUGUCAAGUACAAAUGGAGAGCAGCAUUCUGUGGUCUAUAGCCAAUCUCUGUUCUAUUUGGAGGAGUGUCUGUUUUGAUUGGUUGGCCCCCAGCUGUUUCUAUUGAAAAAUAGUUUCAAUAUCAGCCCUCAUUAGUUGGAAAAUGGCAUGCUUCACUAUUAUUUCUGAGAUAAGGGGAACAAGGAAGUGAAUUGCUUUGCAAUUGAAGUCAACCAUAUUGGACAGAGGGUGGCAGUGUCUAUAGGACCAUCGCAUAUUAGAUGGGAAGGUAUAUCAUUCAAACAUGACAGGUCUCUUUAAUUCUGGGAUCAAACAUGCCUAGAACUUGAUUUAAAUCACUGCUCCAGCUCACACUAACCUUGGGUGUUGAGAACGUUUAUGAUUUAGUUUUCUUGUCUUUAAAUAGGGAAUAACAAUAAUACCUCCAUAAUAACAGCACAGCACAAUACCCCACCCCCAAGCGUUCAAUAUAUGUCAGUGACUAUGUGAAAAUAUUCAGAAUUGGUGUAUAAAAAGUUCGG